GCAAUUUUAAAAUUAUAAAAUUCACAAAUUAAUAUAUAUAUAUAUAUUGUGAUAUAACAAAAUGAUUAGAACAUCCAACCCCUCCUAGCUAGGCUGCUACAAUUCAAAAGAGAAGUAACAUAUCAACAUCUGAACAAAAUCUCCUGUACAAAUUAAUAAACUGGAUGGGAUUGUUAAACCCUAAUUGUAAAUUAUGAAGCAUUCAUUUUUCUUUUCUCCAACUUUUUUAUUGGAAAAUAAUUACACAGAUGCUUCAAGUACCAUAAUGCCCCUUCAGCUGCAUGCUCUGCUGCAGUCUUCUUUUUUGCCCUAGGGGCUCCAUAACACUCCAAGCUAGAUGCAGCACCUGCCCCUUCAAUCUCCACUGUGACCUUGAAUGUGAACCUGUGCAAUUCUUGAAUCACUCAUGAACAGAAUACACAUAUACAUAUGGAUUUGUUGAUUCCCUUUAAGCAAAUAUAAAGAAAUAUAUAAAGGGUUUAAGCAAAAUACUUACAAUCUCUGGUGGCAAGGUCCUUCCUCUUUGCAGCAUUCAAAUAAAGGAGGAUUCCAACUGUUAGCAACACAAAUCUCAUGCAAUUGUGAUUUAGCUGAUAUAUUAUUUGGUUCACCUAAAAGAAACAAGAUUGAUUAGGGCUUGAAAGAGAUGCAGUAAAUAGAAAUUCUUACUCUACUUAUAAACGAAAUUCUUAUUUCACAUCCCAAAUCUUCUUUUUUUUUUCUUAUUUAAAUGUAUUACUAAAGCAAUUUCAGUUAGUUCUUUCAACCCAAAAAUCAAGGACAAACAUCUAAAACCAGAAGGGAUCAGCUAUGUCAAUUUUAUCACCAAUUAAGAAAAUAUAAACAAAUUUAACCUCAAAAAAGGGAUAACUGGAUCAUUAAGCAAAGAUCAACACCGUAACCCAAAAGAGGGGAAAAGAAAAUUCCAAUUCUUUUUACCUGAGUCAUUAUAGAAGGCUUUAUUAUCCCCACUGGUUUUAGGAUCCACCUUGGUCUGAGUUUGGGCCUUGAAGAUUGUGUUAUUAGAGUCUAUUAUGUGCUUGACACAACAAUUAGAAACAUCAUCUUCAUCAUCUCUGGUAUUAUGCUUAUUAUUUAAUAGAUUUGUAUCAGCUAACAAAUCUGCUUCCGUGUUUGCCUCAUGAUCAAAUAAUUUUCCUGCCUCGGUUCCCUCUUCUUGGGGUCCUGGCUUGGCAGCUUUAGGUACAUACCUAGCAACUGAUAUGAUUUUUUUAUCCUGGGAGUAGGAGGAGGUGGUGCUUGGAUCUAGAGGAGGAAGAUUCUUGAGAUUGAUAUGGGUUCGGGAUUGUUUUCGUGGCUUCUCCAUCUAUCUUUCCAUUUCGUUUCCCUGAAUUCUUUGCUUCCCUGCUCAAGAAAACUUUCUAAGAACCUAUGCAAAUGCCAAUUUCUCAUGCGAUGAUGACAAGUGAGGACAAA
rnacentral:misc_RNA from 1 species